ACUUUUUAAAGACUAGAAGGUUGCAUCCUUCUAGUUGAAAAACAUUAAAGUUCUUCUAGAUAACCUCUCCUUUUUGGCAUUUCAAUAUCCUUUGGCAGGCAGGCAGGUCUGCAAGUGGCUAUGGAGAAGCCAACAUGGACUCUACAGAUCCUGAGAAAAGCAGAUGGCCCUGCAGAUCUUACCACCCAGUCUUCAUCCUUUGAAGAUUGAGUCAUCGAAGGAAAUUAGCAGUUCCUUAAGAGAAGACUUGACUGAUACUCUGCAUGUGUGGAUGAGCCUAAAUUUGGUGCUCCUUUCCUGUGUGAUCAUCUGUUUUCUGCUGCCAACAGAGUACCUCAGAGCAAACUGAGGAGCUUCCAGCAUUCUCCAAGCUAUACUAGCCACUCCACUCCCUCCAUAAAAGGGAUGAAGAUACUUAUUUACUUAAUUUAUGCCAGGAAAUAUAGCAUCAAUAUUUAUUAAGCUCCCCCUCCAAAAAAUACAAGGACUAUAUAAUUUUUAUCAUCAUUUGACAGAUGAGCCCCAAAGGAGUUAAAGCAUUACCCUUUGCUUUUUAUUCUGCUGAGUAUUAUAAACCAUAUGGUGUGGAAUGUGACUGUGUA
rnacentral:lncRNA from 1 species